ACAACAUAAGAAGUAUAUUGGCAUAUCACUAUUGCUUCAAUCAUGAACUGUUCUCUAUUUAAUUAAGUUAUAUAAAUAUGCUUUGCAAGCAGAUUAAAAUAUCCAUAGUAGCAACAUGGUAUAAAGUUAUAUAACUACACCAUUCGCAAUAGCAACAUGGAUAAAAGGAUUUGGAUGUAAUUUGGGUUCAAAUCUUGAGAGUGUACCUUUUUUUUUUUUUGACAAAAUAUUCAUUCCUCCAUUUUGUUUGGGAGUUACUAGGAAAAGAGAGGAAGAGGGAUCAAAUGGUUAGGAAGGAAGAGGAAAAAUAAAUUAAUGAUAAUGUUAGAAUAUUUUUCAUUUUUCCUUAAAAAAAAAUGUAAUUAACAAUGAGAAAUAGAUAAUAAUAUAUAAUUAUAUAAUAUUACUAAAAAUAUUUAGGUAUUUUUGACAUUUUAUCUCCAAAAAAUCAUAAAUUGAGGAAACUUUAAAAAUAGACACAUGAAGAGUUUUGGAGAGUUUGAGAAACUCUUCAAAACAUUUCUCUCUCUUUCAUCCAACUCCCAAAUAAGGGGAGGCUUUUCAAAGUCAUCCAUUCUCUUCUUUUUUCUUCAAAAACCUCACUCCCAAACAAAGCCUCUAAGAGAAAAAGGAUUAUCAUUUAUAAGUUUUAUAUAAUGUUACUGCAUUAUCCAUCAUUUAUAUUUAAUCAUUUUAACUAUUUAUAAAAGUAAUAAAAAUGAAUUAUGGAUGGUGAUGCAUAGACUGUGUAUAAUUUUUUAUACUACGGAAGUCUACAUCUCUACAUCAUUUGGCUAAACAUAAGAAGUAUGUAUAUAAGAUAUAGGCUUAUCACUAUAUAUGGUUGAGUUAUAAAAAUAUGGUUUGCAAGGGAAGAGUAUAAUAUUGUUGUAGUAACAAGGUUCAAGUCCCAUUGUCGAUUUUUUUUUCUUUUCAAUUUUAAGAGAAAUUGCUUUCCUUUAGUAAAAUGAAAACAAUUUGGACCAACAUAAGAAGUGUAUAGGCUUAUUAUCACCAUAAAUAUUUGAUUCAGCAAUGAACCUUUUCUGUUUUGAUUUUAAAGUUUUGCUUUGCAAGGAAAUAUUAUAACAUCUGUAAUAGCAAUGUGGUUUAAUGGUCUCAUUUGUUAUGGUUAAUAUUGUUUUAUGAGAAUAAUGUAUCUCUUUAUAUCAGGAUAUAACUUAUUUUCUAUAACCAGUAAGAAUGUGACAUGUGUGCUAUUUUGUUUAUUUUAAAAAAGAUUUUUAUAGAAAAUGAUGAAACAUGACACAUGUCAUAGUUUCACUGGCAGGAGGAGAUAAUUUAUCUUCUUAUACUCCAUUCCCUUGUUUUAUUCUUAGGUUGUAGUAAAUUCUUGUUUAAGGCUUCUUUGGGAACUACAGAAGGGAGAACAGAAAAUUGGUUUUUUAUUAAAAGUAAUUUGAUUUUUAAUAACCGAAAAUCUGGUAAAAGAUUAAGAUGUGGAUUAAUUGGAAUUGGUGUAUCCAACAGAGAGUGAGAGAAGAUAUUUGAUUCCUACAAGAAACAUUAGGCCUCAAUGGCUUACAAUGGUAAAUUGGUAAUAGAAGCUACCAACCAAUGAAGGAUAAUGAAAUAGCUAGUUGAGACUAUGAGGACAUUGUUAUCUUUCUCAAAUGCUAAAAUGUUGGUCUAAUAGUUUAAGGUCCUAAAUUCUAAAUAAAUUAAAAUGUCAAAAAUUCAAUUUCUAUGAGCAAUAAUUAUUGAGAGGAACAACCAUACAUUUCAGAAAGGAUUAGUUCUUUGCCAAUAAAGUGAUAAAAUACCUCUCUUUAUACAAAAAAAAAAAAUGCUUUCAAGAUAGAAAUAUAGCUAGUUCAUUAUAAGUUAAAAAGCCAUUAAGAAAGGAUUUGGUACCUAAGUAAAGAGAUACUAGUAUGUUUUAUCUACAAAUAAUUUGAGACAUCUUCCAAAUGAUUGAUUGAGAUAGGUGUAUAGAUAAAAAAAUAUAAAGUGGGAGAUAUAAAUAAUUUGAUAAAGUUUUCAAUUUUAAGAACUAGAAAUUACACUACGUAGAAAAUGAGUAAGGAUCUUUUUCAUUAAUGAAGAGAUAAGUACAUAUUUUUCGUUUGUUUUUAAUGAUAAAAGUGUGAUUUCAUUGUAAUCAAAAGGAUAUAUAUGUAAUUUGAAGUUGUAUUUCUCUUUACUUUUUGAAGCUAUUCCAAAAUGGUGUCCCUAAUCCUGUCUCAUACCAUUUAUAUUUAAACACAUGGAUUUAAUAUUUUAAUUUUAUAAAAUAAAAUUAAAAUAAAGUGUUAUUUUUAUUUAUUGGCAAAGAGUAAUUGGAUUGGGACACAGAGACAGAGAAUGGAACUCCAAGGGAAUGAUGAUCCACUUCCCUUCCCUCUCCAUUGUAGAAAAUUUAUGUGCCAUUUCCAAGAUUAUAACACUUAUUCAAAUUCAACACCAGAAAACAAAUAAGAUGCUGGAAACCACACAAGAUUUACUUAAAUUGUCUCAGACAAGCACAUCAAAGAAACAAUCAUGAAACCAAAACCAUAAUUAAAUCUACAAGAAGGAAUUAAAUCAGCAAGUAAUGAUUCAUUCUUAAGAAAUAGUAAACAAAACAAAAAAAGGCCAAAGUGUCCAAAUAGCCAAUAUCAUAAGCAAAACUUAAACACAAGAGACAUAACAAAACAACAUAAUAAGAUAAGUAACAUAAGGUCACAACAACAUGUGACUACUUUUAACCAGUGAGUUCUUCCUCCUUGUGUGUCUCAAUGACAACAUCUGACUGAGGAUAAGCAACACAUGUAAGAACAAACCCUUCAUCUACUUGAUCAUCAUCAAGGAAGCUACCAUCAGUUUGGUCCACCUUUCCUUCCGUAACCUUACCAGCACAUGAAGAACAAGAACCAGCCCUACAAGAGUAGGGUAGGUCAAGGCCUUCUUCUUCUGCCUGGUCAAGGAUGUAUACAUCAUCAGGGCAUUCAAAUUCUUUAGGUCCGUCUGGGGUGAUGACCUUAACCUUGUAAGUAGCCAUGGCUAUAACAAGACUACGUCCACCUUUCACACCAAAAAGAGGCUCACCCAUGUUUGGGAAUGCCCUAAGGCUUGUGGCCAUUGGCUGGCUCCUAAGGAAGGAGGUGCUGCUAACCAUGGUUCCAGAGAGGGUUGGUGUAGUGGCCAUUGGUGUUGUUGCAAGAGUGGUUGGUGGAGGUAAAGAGUGGAUAGAACAACACUUGCUUGUGUUGUUUGAUGAUAAAGGGUGAGCUUGUGGAAAUGCUGUGAUUUAUUACAAUUUACAAGUUGUGUUGCAUGGAUACCCUAUCUGCCACGUGGCAGCAUGUUACACCUUGCUUUGUUAUCUCUUUAUCAUCAUGGUUACUUGGUCACUGUGGUUGGCACAAGCAUCUCCUCACAAGUUUCCAAACCCAAUAAAUUUUGAACCAUAAAAAAAUUUGAUUCACUCUCUUUUUUAUAUGGUUUGUAUAUAUAUAUGAAGGAGCUAAUAGAAAUUCCAAAAGAAGAAUAUAUCAAAUAAAUAUCAGUCCAAUUCCUUAGGAAGAAAGACCAAUAAAAAAAUCAUACAUGAAAUGAUUAAGUAAAAUUUAGAGAUCAAAGAUUCAUUAAUAAAUAUGAUUUAUGAUAGAAGAUUAUAAUGUUGUUUACUCUAUAUAACCAAUCUUGCUAAGAUAAAUAUUUGAUUGUUGUU
rnacentral:lncRNA from 1 species